AAAGUUUUACUUUGUAAUUAAAUUUUUAACCCGUCAGCACUCACGUUAUAAGCAUUUUGCUCACGCAACAACAUCCGACUUAUAGAGCGGCGUUGUAGUGCAAGUGAGACAUUAAAAUUCACGUGAGUUCUGACG